AAUGGGCGAAAGCCUGACGGAGCAAGACCGCGUGCGGGAGGAAGGUCUAUUGACUGUAAACCGCUUUUGAUAGGGAAGAAGAUCUGACGGUACCUAUCGAAUCAGCAUCGGCUAACUCCGUGCCAGCAGCCGCGGUAAUACGGGGGAUGCAAGCGUUAUCCGGAAUUAUUGGGCGUAAAGCGUCCGUAGGUGGUUUUAUAAGUCUGUUGUCAAAUCGCGAGGCUUAACCUCGUACAGGCAGUGGAAACUAUAAGACUAGAGUGCGGUAGGGGUAGAGGGAAUUUCCAGUGUAGCGGUGAAAUGCGUAGAUAUUGGAAAGAACACCGGUGGCGAAGGCGCUCUACUGGGCCUGCACUGACACUGAGGGACGAAAGCUAGGGGAGCGAAAGGGAUUAGAUAC
rnacentral:rRNA from 1 species